rnacentral:rRNA from 1 species
GAUGAACGCUAGCUACAGGCUUAACACAUGCAAGUCGAGGGGAAACGACAUCGAAAGCUUGCUUUUGAUGGGCGUCGACCGGCGCACGGGUGAGUAACGCGUAUCCAACCUGCCCACACUUGGGGAUAACCUUGCGAAAGUAAGACUAAUACCCAAUGAUAUCUCUAGAAGACAUCUGAAAGAGAUUAAAGAUUUAUCGGUGAUGGAUGGGGAUGCGUCUGAUUAGCUUGUUGGCGGGGUAACGGCCCACCAAGGCAACGAUCAGUAGGGGUUCUGAGAGGAAGGUCCCCCACAUUGGAACUGAGACACGGUCCAAACUCCUACGGGAGGCAGCAGUGAGGAAUAUUGGUCAAUGGACGAGAGUCUGAACCAGCCAAGUAGCGUGCAGGAAGACGGCCCUAUGGGUUGUAAACUGCUUUUAUAAGGGAAUAAAGUGAGUCUCGUGAGACUUUUUGCAUGUACCUUAUGAAUAAGGACCGGCUAAUUCCGUG